rnacentral:rRNA from 1 species
GAUCCUGGCUCAGGAUGAACGCUGGCGGUGUGCUUAACACAUGCAAGUCGAACGAAGCACUUAAGAUUGAUUCUUCGGAUGAAGUCUUUUGUGACUGAGUGGCGGACGGGUGAGUAACGCGUGGGUAACCUGCCUCAUACAGGGUGAUAACAGUUAGAAAUGACUGCUAAUACCGCAUAAGCGCACAGGGUCGCAUGACCUGGUGUGAAAAACUCCGGUGGU